GGUGGCGGGGGUGGUUAUGGAGGAGGUUACGGAGGCGGAUUUGGAUUCGGAGGCGGAGGUGGAUUCAGAAAGAAAUAAUAAACACGCUGCCAAGUUUGUUAACAUACAGGCGUCAAGAUUUACUCUCAACAGAUGCAGAAAAGUAAGAUAAAUGUACACCUAAAAGCAAAGUUGAUGUACCUAUGAAGAAGUUACCAAAUAAAUAUAUUUCUUA